UUCCAAAAAAGUACCUAUCGAAAAUUACAGGAACGAAGGACGUUACCCACUUCCGGAUUCUUCUUCCCAGUCAGACAGUGCCCUGCUUUCUGCUGUUUGCUUUUUCUAGCAAUUCCUAUUUCUAGAUCCCAGUUUUUCUUGUUCUUUUUAUUUUCCUUGCUCUAAUUGUUUUUGUUGUUUUAGUUUAAUUAUCCAUGUGAAGUCGUGCAUGUUAGCGUGUCUGCUACUCACCCUUCAAAAAGGAGUGGGAAUCAUGCUUUAUUGAGUUAAAAAGCAAUCCAAACAAUCCCUAAUUCAACUUUCAGAUAGCCAAUUUCUCUCUCUCUCUCUCUCAGGAUUUCUCUACCCUUCUUCUUUAAAAGCCAUUGGGGUUAGAGCAGAGGAUUUGAUAGUCAGCAAAAUCUUUAUUGAAGAUAUAAAUGGCAACGCUAGGGGAUAUAGGGGUUUCAGCGGCUAUAAAUCUUCUAACUGCUUUCAUUUUCCUUUUAGCAUUCGCAUUUUUAAGGCUACAACCCUUCAAUGAUAGAGUUUACUUUCCAAAAUGGUAUCUUAGUGGCUUAAGAAGUAGUCCCACCCACUCAGGAGCUUUUGUGCGAAGGUUUGUCAAUUUAGACUUUAGAUCGUAUCUGAGAUUUCUAAAUUGGAUGCCAGAAGCAAUCAGAAUGCCAGAGCCUGAGCUAAUUGAGCAUGCAGGGUUGGAUUCUGCCGUUUACUUGCGCAUUUACUUGAUAGGGCUUAAGAUUUUUGUUCCUAUCACAUUUCUUGCUUGGGCUAUUCUGGUUCCAGUAAAUUGGACAAAUAGCACUUUGGAGCUAGCAAAGUUGUCUAACGUGACUUCCAGUGACAUUGACAAGCUUUCAAUAUCAAAUGUCCCACUCAAAUCGCAAAGAUUUUGGGCACAUAUAGUUAUGGCUUAUGUCUUUACUUUUUGGACAUGCUAUGUGUUAAUGAAGGAGUAUGAGAAAGUUGCUACAAUGCGCUUGCAGUUUCUUGCAUCAGAAAGUCGUCGUCCAGAUCAAUUUACAGUCCUUGUUAGGAAUGUGCCACCAGAUCCUGAUGAAUCUGUUAGUGAGCUUGUGGAGCACUUUUUUCUGGUCAAUCAUCCAGAUCACUAUCUUACUCAUCAGUUGGUAUACAAUUCAAACAAACUAGCCAAAUUGGUGAAGAAGAAGAAAAGUAUGCAGAACUGGCUUGACUACUACCAACUUAAGUAUUCUAGAAAUCAAUCACAGAGGCCUAUGAUGAAGACUGGUUUUCUUGGGCUUUGGGGGCAAAAGGUGGAUGCAAUUGAUCAUUACAUCUCUGAGAUUGAGAAACUAUCAAAAGAAAUAGCUGAAGAGAGGGAAAAAGUUGAAACGGAUCCAAAGUCUAUCUUGCCAGCAGCUUUUGUUUCUUUCAGAAGUCGAUGGGCUGCAGCUGUUUGUGCACAAACUCAACAA
rnacentral:misc_RNA from 1 species